UGCGUAUUGUUCUUCUAUACUCUGACAAAUAUUUAUUAUUGAAGAUGAUUUAGAUAUGUAUCAUCACCGUGGCCAUCACACUAUCACCGGCGAGUCCUCUCAAAUGAGAUCAACCGAACGAAACAUCCACGAGAAUGUCAAUUUCAUGGAAGAUGAUGACCAUGUAGUGCCUGAUAGGAUGAUAAAAAUUGAAAGGGAUUCCCACUCUGGGUUUGUUAUAUUGGUUAUUGAUUAUUAAUUAAGAUUCUUGUUAUUAUAUAUUAACUAAUAUUAAAAUAUUGUAGGAAAUUAUUGGCCCAUUGGCAGAUGGCAAGUAAAAUUACCUCAUCAUUUCACCAAAUCCGAAAUCCAACGGGUUUUACAUGUGCUAAAACCCCAGAUGACGUUAAGAAGGGUUACUUUGAGGAGUUUCGAGAGGUGUGGGUCCUUUGGAAAACGAAAAGCUGCAAUCAGAUUUUCGUCCUUUAUUACCCGCUUAAAAAAGUUUAACGCUCCUAAUAAAGCAAGACCGAGUUACGUGUCAGAAGUGACGUGGAAAGGAUUGCUAGAGCAUUGGAAGGAUCCCGAUGUGAUAGAAAAGUCGAUACUUACAAAAAAGGCCAGACUUUCUGAGCCAGAUGGUCCCGGAACCGGAUACAGUAAGAAUUACUCUUACUUACAGAGGCUCAACUUCAGUUGCAGCAAAAGCUCAAAAGUUGGUAAGUGUUAUAUAUAUACACCUAUAUAUUGGGUUGUGAUCAAUUGAGAUUUUUUAGGCUAAUUGAGAAAUGAGAUGUAAUAUCAGCCACUCAUUUUUAUUAAAUGAGUGGUCCAGAAUUUGCUACAUAGAAAAUAUUUUCAGAUUAAUUAAUUAUGGAAUGGCAGAAUGGUAAUUUCAUGUUUAAAUUAUGUACUUCCGCUGUUCUCUUUUUCCCAAAUCCCUGCAGUUGUUUUCCAUCCCAACCCAUCUGCUUCUCCGCCGCCCCAAAAAUCUCCGCCACAAUCUCUGCCGGCGGCAAGCUCCUCAACGCCACCCUAUCCUACCUCGACGCCUCCGAUGAGCUCCAGACCGUCUCAAUCGCCGACCUCAGCAGCAGUAGCAGCAGCCGGAGCGAGAGCGGGAGAAGCACCUCCUCCGGCAGCGGUGACGGUAGCAGUUCGUGGCCGUGGAAGUUGAAGAGCUCCGCCGCAUUGCGGUAGAAGAAGAGGUUCAAUCUGCACCUCUAGUUUAUAGAUGCCGUCCUUUUCAAAUUCAUCUCCGCCUUCGAAGCCGUGUGUUUAGUCUCCGCGCUCUGCUUCUUCUUCCUCUGCUGCGGAUGCCAUAUCAAUGGAGCUCUCAGUCUCCGAUCUCGCGGAUGAUGAUGGAGGUUUGAUCUUCAAUUCCGCAAGGAUCGAGAGUAAGGAGAUGUUGAUCCUCGGAGCUCUGAAAUGGCGGAUGCGCUCCGUUAAUCCUUUCUCGUUCCUCAUUUAUUUCUUCUCGCUCUUCGUUUCCGGCGACGACAAGCGUUCGAUUCAGGCUUUGAAGAAUAGAGGAGAUCGGAUUAUCUUCAAAUCUCAGCACGCAACAAGAGGUGGCUGGGCAAUUGCGGCCAGCAUCGGCGCGGUGGAGGCUUCUACAGUAAUAUUGAUUAAUAUAUCUCAAUUUCAUCUCUCAAUUUCAGAUCUGUCUCACUGAUUUUGAUUUUUGAAGGUAUCCUAUGUUUUCAAUUGAAUACUUCUACAGUAAAGAGAGGUUUUGUUUCUGCAUAAAUUUCCUAGAUCUGAUGCUUGUUUACCAGUUGUUGUCUUUGAUCUUUCUGCAAAUUCCUUCUUUGUUUAUUAAUUUUUGUUUAGUUGAAUUGAGUCUUUUAUGUAGUUGUUCGGAUUUCGAGAAAUCUCGUUGCGUUUGCCUAUGAUUGAAGGUUCAAUUCGUAGGAGAAAUCAUUAAUUUAUUGUUUCUCUCUCUAGAAAUUAUGUUUCAUGCGCCGUAUUAAUCGUCAACAUCUGCUGAUUCAGCCUAAUUUCAUUCUAUUUGUUGACCG